CUUCGCAACCUGGACCAGCUCUCUUCCAGGAACUGCUCGUCAAAAAGCCGGCUCUUUUGCAGCAGGUCCUUUGAAAUGUUCAACCCACGUCCGUCCAACGCCCGGCGGGGUUAGUUUUGCAACGCGAGCUUUGCAACGAUAAACAUUUACCGGAACAAUGAUUAAAGAGGUACACACAACAGGCCCCGGUUUAACCAAAGAGUACAAAAAAACGCUCCUAAAAGGCAAGAAAAAAUGUUUCACAAAAGAACGCUAAUUACUGCCUUUGCCCGGGAAGGUGUGUGUUUGCCAUCAGCAGCAGUGGAGAGAAAAAAAGCUUCUGGACCAAAUUUGCAGCUUUCGUACUCGAGUGCAACGGAAAACAGCUGGAAGUGCUCGAGAGAAGGGAACGUGGGUUGCUGCUGCUGCUAGAAAAGUGCCCUCUUGUUAUAACGAUCCAAGUCUCAGCGACCGCCGCCGUCGGCAUUGUACGACGAUGCAUGUUCCGGCUUCAGUGCGACAGUGUGUCCUUGUCGCGUAAGGCUUGGUGCGGGGUGAAAUUGGACAAUGACUAACAAGCAAAAGUUGAAGAAAUCAGAAA